GGGAAGGUUUGGGAAGGGAAGGUUUGGGAAGGGAAGGUUUGGGAAGGGAAGGUUUGGGAAGGGAAGGUUUGGGAAGGGAAGGUUUGGGAAGGGAAGGUUUGGGAAGGGAAGGUUUGGGAAGGGAAGGUUUGGGAAGGGAAGGUUUGGGAAGGGAAGGUUUGGGAAGGGAAGGUUUGGGAAGGUUUGGGAAGGGAAGGGAAGGGAAGGGAAG